UGUAAUACUUGCUACCUCUAAAUUCUGGUUCCGCCUAACAAGCAUCUGCCUUCUAUUUAUACCUCUUUGCUUAACCCUCUUUACCAUCAUCGAUCAGGCGUCGGAAAGUUCACGAUUGGCGGCAGGAUGAAAUAGAUAAAACAACGUGGUGUUGGCAUUCAUCUGUAUGAAAAUGAUGAUAAAAAAGAAGUUAAACUUGCAUACCUGAUGGAUUCCAAAGAAACAGACAAGUGCUCUUAUGCAGAAAAAAUGAAGGUUGCAAUGCAACUCAAACGGCAUAAUACGCAGAGUCAAAUAUCCCCAUAGAAGGGCAGCGAUGUUGCUAUCGCGGCGUAUGAGAAGACAAGCUUCUGCAAAGCACAACCUUCUUGAAAGUCCGAUUUUUGCUGUCCCAGAGCAGUCAACAUCAUCUUGGGAAGCAAGAUUUCUGAAACAAUCUGCUCUUACCAUACAAGAACCUCCUUCAAUUCCUGAAAAAGGUUAUAUUGUUGCACUCAUAUUUAUAUACCAUAUAUUAUUAACACAAUGGUGCUUAUGUUUUGUUUGGCGACUUAGUAUGAUACCUUAUUUGUCUUAUAUGUGCCUAUAAACUAAAACACAAAAAUAUUACAUGUUCUUUUACACUCUAUUUUGCACCUAAUGAGGCUUCACUGUAUGCUUUUAAACAUCUUGGCUUUUCUGUUUACCAGCUGCCAGCCAUCAAAGAUGCAUGACUACAUCGCGGGAUAAUUAAGAAAAAGGAAAGGGUAUAUUGGAUACCCCUAUCAUUCGUGAAACAUGUAACCUUUAGAUUAUACAAUUUUGAGAAUGACAUAUUUUUUUGGUACA